GAAAAUUUGGUAAAAUUGUACAUAGAGUACAAUUCAAUACUUAAGAUAAUUAUGCAACCUACAUAUUAAAUAAGUAUUUAUCUGCCAGAUAGUAUUGGUUAUUUUAAACGUUUAAAAAUUUUGGCAAUAUCUAUUUACUUCAGCCUUGUCAGAACCGGGUUGAGAACUUAAAUAGCAAUAUGAUACAAUAUUACCGAUUAAAAAUUAAAAAAUAGUACUGUAAAGUAUUUUUGUGGACAAGAUAAAGUCAUUUUUCAUCCGCGAGGUUCCGGGAUUUCUACAAGAGUCUCCGCAAUCAAAGAUUUACAUCACGGUAUAAAUUAUUAUAAUAUCCGUAAUAUAUUAGGACUCUACUGAUUGUUAUGACAGUCAUUAGGAACAUUACAAAUAUUGCCUUAAUGCAUAUAUGGUAUAUUAAUUUAAUUGAUAGAAACUGAGGAUUUCUAAAUUUGGGCAAGAGUUCAGAUGUAUAAGGUUUCCAUAGAUCAAUAUGAAGCAGUUUCACAGACAUGUUGAGUACCGGCAUUGUUAACAUUUCUAAGAACCGUAAUAAUGAACAGACGUCGUCUCUAGUGACGGACGCCGUAUAUUUAGGACGUUGACGGCGAAGAUUACCGGACUUUGGGUUGUGGAAACAUCCCAGUUCGAGCGGUCAGUUCAUCAGGUCAGGCAGUCCUUAGAAGUAGGUUAUAGUAAAACCAUUCAGUAAAAACAACUCCAGGCAUAUUACAAUUAAUUUUUAAACAUAGAUUAAGAAUAACACAAUACUGUUGUCAUAAAAUAAACAUACCAUUUUUAAUACUUAAACAACACCAGACAGAGUGAUAUAUGUAGAUAGCCGGAUUAUAAUAACUAUCUUAUAUCACAUACAAAAGGUUAGUUGUAUUUCUUCUAAUCUAAUGAAAUUUAAACGUCUAUUGAAUAAUAAUAUGUACACUUCAAUUGAAAAAUUUUAACGGUGUGUUUGUUGAGUAUUUUUAUAUUUUAUUUUAUUUCUUAUAAUUAAUAUUAGAAAUGUUUGCUGACAAACACGAUUGUCUGUAAAAUUCCAUCAAGUGGUUUAAUAACACUAACACCUAUAUCGUAUAUUAUAUGUGUUAUAGUGUUGAUGGCAAUCCUUCUCUCGGAUUAAAAUGUUUUGAUAUCAGAGUUUUAAUGUUAACAAUAAACCAACUAGUAUAACUACGUUGUUGUCAUGUUCACUCAGCAGAUUGCGCGCUCCAACGUGCAACUACAGGCAUCAGCAAAUUGACAAAACCUGCUCAAUUAAAAUCGAUGUUAAGACAACACAGACGAGACAAGGAAGUUCCAGAAAUUGACCAAAGCCGAAUUUGUAGGAACACCCGGUUCAGAAUAAAUGUCUAGAUGCUAAUUAAUUAUUAAAUAUUAUAUUAUAAAGUUGUACUGUGUUUUAACAGAAUUCGAUCAUUUAUCACGUAAAUUUUCAAAGUUAUAGCUAAUUUAAUUUUUUUUUUUUAAGUCCUGCAGAAAGACAGACAGAAAUGAUUUUUUUUCAGUUUCACGAGCGUUUAAAAUAAAAUCGUUCAAUAAUUCUGAACUUCUAAAACUACACAUUCAAAAACAAAACUCUAGUUAUAACUUUAUAAGUUAAUGGAUUUUUAAAGUUGCAGUUUUGUUUUAAGGUACUAAACUCAGACACAUCUUCGUGGUAUAUAAAACGUUGAAGUUAUAUCUUGUACUUUUCUUCUAAUAGCUGAAAGUAAAACGCUUAAAUUUAAUGCAAUGCCUGUAUUGUAGCUCUACUGAUUAGCUUUUGGUUGAUAUGUAAACUUGGGUAUGUAUAAGACAUUUGAUCUUGGAUUAUUUAUUUACUCCUUUGCAUGGCCAUAUAGGAUUCAAUUACUUUUACAGCCUAAUUCAGAACUUAGAUAUAUAUUUUGUAUUUGAAACUCAGACCAAGAGCCAAGCCUAUACGAGUUUUUAUAGGUUAUGUAAGAGGUAUGAUAUCAUAUUUUUAUACCGUAUGAAAUUAUUAAAUGCGGUAAUAAAUUAAAUAAUUCAUUCCUAUUGAAAAAAUGACAAUCAAUAAACAAUAACAUUAUUGUGAAAUGAAAAAAAAACUAUAUAAGUAACGUUUUGUAAUAGACUAACUCUGUGUACUAGUUAAAAUGACUUGAUGCUGAGUUUUCUAAAUAGUGUGCAGCAUAUAAACUAUUGUUGCUGGAAGCACUAAACAUGGUAUACAAAUUGUAAUUGCAACAAACACAAAUGUUCCUUUGUAUUAUUGAAAACCUUUUAGCCUAAGCUAGUAUGUAUAUAGGAAGAUACAUUAUUGUAAUUAGCCUGAGAAUACUCAACACAUGCCCUUGCUUUGAUCUAAGAUACGUAGUAACUGAUAUAAAAAGUGUAAUUCAUUUUAGAGUUUUAAAGGCUGCCAUCCUGUAUCGGAAAAAUUAAAAAAUAGAAUUAUUCUACCUUUAUAAUCACUAAACUAAAGCACAUCAUAUAAGAACAGAUGAUAUGGUAUAAUUACAACACCAACGUCUAACAUUUACACUAUGACAUGUAAACAUGUAUGUAUGAAUACAAUUAGGGUUGGAUAAACCACAUAAAAAACUGUACAAUUGUAUUAAUUACCAAAACUCAUCUUUUCAGAACUUUCUUCAAUCUAAUAAUCAAUCAUACACUAUCUUCAUUAAAAUAUUACUUCCUGAAUUAAAUAAAAAUUCUGUCUCAAGUCAAAAGUAGUAGGUAUACUUCAUGAAAACAGAAAUAUUAUUAAUUUUAGGAUUAAACCGUUUGAAGUAAAAAACACAUAGUUUAAUGUAUGAUAUUCAACAUAAUUUUGAAGGACAGUCAAUAUAAAAUCUGGUUUUGAAUAACUUUGAAUUUGGAAGAAACGCCAAAUUUAUCACGUUAUUAUAAAAUCUUGUGUUAGUCAUAUUUUCACACUUCUAAUUGGACGGUUUCCGACCUGUCAUGGCCCUGAACUGACCUCUGGCGUCAAGAACUCUCUAAAAUCAUGUCCAAAUUCCACUAAUCUUGCCUCACAACACCCUAAAUCUAUAAGUCACUGAUCUGGCACCCUGUCUGGUGCUGUUUUCCACAGCACCUAACCUUUCCUAACCUUUGAAAUGGAGUACGCUUUUUUAAACUUUUGAUGCUCGUUGUUGAUGAUGUGUUUUAUAUUUGUUAAGUGAAUCAUAAUCCCUAAAGUUCACAUAUAAUUAUAUGUGGAGAUAACUUUACUUAAAGAAAACUUUUCUUAUAACAUGUGGUACAUCAAGAUAGUAAGGCCAAACAAAUCUAGUCCCAAAGUUACAAUGGUGGACUUACUGCAUAUAUCUUUUUUACAAAUAAGACAUAGAGGACAGAACGAGCGCAUUCGUACUGUAUCAUACUAGUACAGAUUGUUUUACUCAUUGUUUAAAGUUAAUAACUUCAAAACUAGUAUAUGGAAAAGUUAACACCUAUAUUUUAGAGGCAAACACGGAUGAUAUAGAAUAUCAAAAAGGGCAAAAAGUUGAUAAAUAACUUUGUAUAAAUGAUUUAAUAUUAGGUUCAAAUAUGACCGGAGUUGUAUUUUUUAUUUAAAUUGAAAUUUUACAGAGACCGAAGUCGAUACAGUGGGAACACACCAAGGAAUGUCAGUAACUGGAGGAGAUCAACACAACAUGACACCAGUCUUUGAGAUACGUCAUCCUCAGCCCGUUCUGGCAGCAGUGGCUAGUCUCGUAUGGUCUUCAGGAUAUAAUAAGCGAAUCUCUCGUACUCCCAUCAUCGUUCUCCCUCCAGGGACCUGCUCAAUCAUCACCAUGUACAACGCUAAGGAGAUCCUACAGUAACUCAAGUUUGUUUCCACAAGUGAAAAAAAAGAGACAAGGUGCACAAUGCAGAAGAAACAUUUUUAUACAAAGGCAAAAAGGAUGGAGGACUGAUGAUUCCAUACGAAGUGACUGAUAGCCCUUAUUUACUUACAUCAAACGACUGGGAACGAGUAGUGGCUGUUUUCGCUAUGGGCAUUACUUGGGACGGGCCUCCUUUGUCAGGGUUGCGGUGGAAAAACAAUCCUGAGAAACUAUUUUCUAAAAUAUGUGGUUUUCAUCUCAAGUAUAAAGAGAUGCAGCUAGACCCGACAGUGGAACCCUGGGAUGUGACUAUUAUUCAGUUAUCCCUUACUAAACGUCAGAUGGAUCGUGCUGCACUCAUGGUCUUCUGGGAAACACUAGAUAAACACAUGAUGGAAAAGAAACCUCACCUUCGAUUUUGAAAAUGCUAGUCGUGGACCUCUGUUGUACAUAUUUAUUUCUCUAUAACAGAUAUUCAUAUUACUCUAAAUAAACUUUACUUAUAAAAAUG